rnacentral:rRNA from 1 species
UUUCAACGGAGAGUUUGAUCCUGGCUCAGGACGAACGCUGGCGGCGUGCUUAACACAUGCAAGUCGAGCGGUAAGGCCCCUUCGGGGGUACACGAGCGGCGAACGGGUGAGUAACA